GACGAACGCUGGCGGCGUGCUUAACACAUGCAAGUCGAACGGAGAAUUUUAUUUCGGUAGAAUUCUUAGUGGCGAACGGGUGAGUAACGCGUAGACAACCUGCCUCUUAGAUGGGGACAACAUCGCGAAAGCGGUGCUAAUACCGAAUGAAGUGGAGCUUCCGCAUGGAAGCAUCACCAAAGGUGGCCUCUAUUUAUAAGCUACCACUGAGAGAUGGGUCUGCGUCUGAUUAGCUAGUUGGCGGGGUAAUGGCCCACCAAGGCGACGAUCAGUAGCGGGUCUGAGAGGAUGAACGGCCACAUUGGGACUGAGACACGGCCCAAACUACUACGGGAGGCAGAAGGGGGGAAUCUUCCGCAAUGGAAGAAAGUCUGACGGAGCAACGCCGCGUGAGUGAAGAAGGUUUUCGGAUCGUAAAGCUCUGUUGUUUGAGACGAAUGUGCAGACUUUGAAUAAGGGUUUGUAAUGACGGUAUUAAACGAGAAAGCCACGGCUAACUACGUGCCAGCAGCCGCGGUAA
rnacentral:rRNA from 1 species